UACUCCCUCCGUCCCAAUGAAUUGUAUACAGUUUCCUUUUUGGGACGUCCCAUCAAUUGUAUACAUUCCAAAAAUAGUAAACUUUUAUAAUAUAAAACAUCAUUACACCAACUACUUUCUUCCACUAUCUCCAUUCUAUAAUAAUAUAAACACUAUUGCACCCACUACUUUCCUCCACCAUCUCAAAUUUAUUAUUAAAUAUAAAUGGGUCCCACCACUAUACCC
rnacentral:lncRNA from 1 species